CGGGUGAGUAACGCGUGGAUAACCUGCCUCACACUGGGGGAUAACAGUUAGAAAUGACUGCUAAUACCGCAUAAGCGCACAGUACCGCAUGGUACAGUGUGAAAAACUCCGGUGGUGUGGGAUGGAUCCGCGUCUGAUCAGCCAGUUGGCGGGGUAACGGCCCACCAAAGCGACGAUCAGUAGCCGACCUGAGAGGGUGACCGGCCACAUUGGGACUGAGACACGGCCCAA
rnacentral:rRNA from 1 species